AGAUCGGGCCUUUCAGGCAUCCUCUCCUAAGACUUUCACGGCCGUCCUUCGGGGCGGCCUUUUUUUUUGCGCGCG
rfam:Sphingomonas sp. 67-41 SCNpilot_cont_300_bf_scaffold_168, whole genome shotgun sequence.